ACUAUGCUUGGCCCUAAACCUCAGUAGUUAAAUAACAAAACUACUCGCCAGAAUACUACAAGCAACAGCUUAAAACUCAAAGGACUUGACGGUGCUUUACACCCCCUAGAGGAGCCUGUUCCGUAAUCGAUAAACCCCGAUCCACCCCACCCUCUCUUGCUCAGCCUAUAUACCGCCAUCUUCAGCAAACCCUGAUAAAGGCCACAAAGUGAGCGCAAACGCCACCACCGCGAAGACGUUAGGUCAAGGUGUAGCCCAUGAGACGGUAAAAAAUGGGCUACAUUUUCUAUCUCAGAAAACUCUACGAAAGCCCUUAUGAAAUCUGAGGGCCCAAGGAGGAUUUAGCAGUAAAUUAAGAAUAGAGUGCUUAGUUGAACCAGGCCAUAAAGCGCGCACACACCGCCCGUCACUCCUCUCAAAUAUAUUCAAGGAAUAUCUUAACUAAACGCCCUAAUGUUUAUAUAGAGAGGAUAAGUCGUAACAUGGUAAGCGUACUGGAAGGUGCGCUUGGAUAAAU
rnacentral:rRNA from 1 species